GGUUUAAGGUUUAGGGUUUGGAUUAGGAUUUAGUUAGGAUUUGAUUUAGGAUUUAGGAUUUGGUUUAGGGUUUAGAGUAUGGAUUAGGAUUUGGUUUAGGGUUUAGAGUAUGGAUUAGGAUUUGGUUAGGGUUUAGUUAGGAUUUGAUUUAGGAUUUGGUUAGGACUUGGUUUAAGAUUUAGGAUUUGAUUAGGGUUUGAUUUAGGAUUUAGAAUUUGAUUUAGGAUUUGAUUGGAAUUUGGUUUAAGGUUUGUUUAGGAUUUAGUUUAGGAUUUAGGAUUUCAUUUAGAAUUUAGGAUUUUAUUAGGGUUUAAGUUUUAAUUAGUUUUGGCCUAAAGUUUGAAUGAAGUCCAAUAGGAUUUUAACUAGAAUUAAAUUAAGAUUGAAUUGAGAUGUAUUUGAGUGAUAUUUUUGAUCAUUCUAAUAUUUCUUUAAGAAUUUUUAUUUUUUGUUUG
rnacentral:lncRNA from 1 species